rnacentral:rRNA from 1 species
UACGUAGGGGGCUAGCGUUGUUCGGAAUUACUGGGCGUAAAGCGCACGUAGGCGGGCGAUUAAGUCAGGGGUGAAAUCCCGGAGCUCAACUCCGGAACUGCCUUUGAUACUGGUCGUCUAGAGAUCGGAAGAGGUGAGUGGAAUUCCCAGUGUAGAGGUGAAAUUCGUAGAUAUUGGGAAGAACACCAGUGGCGAAGGCGGCUCACUGGUCCGAUACUGACGCUGAGGUGCGAAAGCGUGGGGAGCAAACAGG